UACGAAGGGGGCUAGCGUUGCUCGGAAUUACUGGGCGUAAAGCGCACGUAGGCGGAUCUUUAAGUCAGGGGUGAAAUCCUGGAGCUCAACUCCAGAACUGCCUUUGAUACUGAAGAUCUUGAGUCCGGGAGAGGUGAGUGGAACUGCGAGUGUAGAGGUGAAAUUCGUAGAUAUUCGCAAGAACACCAGUGGCGAAGGCGGCUCACUGGCCCGGUACUGACGCUGAGGCACGAAAGCGUGGGGAGCAAACAGG
rnacentral:rRNA from 1 species